GCCGCGGGGGCCGGUCGUGCUCUGCCCGGCUCGGUCUGCGAGCACAGGGGCAGGAGCGAAGGGUCUCCUGCUUGGUGUGUUGGCCUGCCCGAGUGGCCCUGCCGCUGUUGCAAGCAGCUUGGAAAGGUGUACAGACAUAGGGGGGUCAGAUUUACGCAGUCUUGCCCAGGGACAAGUUUUCCAUGACACUGGAUUCAUCGCUCAGCUACAAUAUGGUGCCAGGCAUACGCUCAGGCCCCACUUGCAGAGCAGUGUGUUCAAUUCAACCUAUGCAUCUUGGGCAAGAGUUUAACGUUUUCUGAGCUGCACCU
rnacentral:lncRNA from 1 species